AUUGAACGCUAGCGGGAGGCCUUACACAUGCAAGUCGAACGGAGUGGCGAACGGGUGAGUAAUGUAUCGGAACGUGCCCAGUAGUGGGGGAUAACUACGCGAAAGGGUAGCUAAUACCGCAUACUAUUGGAGCGGCCUAUAUCGGAUUAGCUAGUUGGUGGGGUAAGGGCUAACCAAGGCGACGAUCCGUAGCUGGUUUGAGAGGAAGAACAGCCACACUGGAACUGAGACACGGCCCAGACUCCUACGGGAGGCAGCAGUGGGGAAUAUUGGACAAUGGGCGAAACCCUGAUCCAGCCAUCCCGCGUGUGCGAUGAAGGCCUUCGGGUUGUAAAGCACUUUUGGCAGGGAGGCGUUACCUGCAGAAUAAGCACCGGCUAACUUCGUGCCAGCAGCCGCGGUAAUAC
rnacentral:rRNA from 1 species